UGGGGAAUAUUGCGCAAUGGGGGCAACCCUGACGCAGCAACGCCGCGUGAAGGAUGAAGGUCUUCGGAUUGUAAACUUCUGUUUUGAGGGACGAAAAUGACGGUACCUCAAGAGGAAGCCACGGCUAACUACGUGCCAGCAGCCGCGGUAAUACGUAGGUGGCAAGCGUUGUCCGGAUUUACUGGGUGUAAAGGGCGUGUAGGCGGGCUGGUAAGUCAGAUGUGAAAUACCGGGGCUCAACCCCGGGGCUGCAUUUGAAACUGUCAGUCUUGAGUGUCGGAGAGGUAAGCGGAAUUCCUAGUGUAGCGGUGAAAUGCGUAGAUAUUAGGAGGAACACCAGUGGCGAAGGCGGCUUACUGGACGAUAACUGACGCUGAGGCGCGAAAGCGUGGGUAGCAAACAGGAUUAGAUACCCUGGUAGU
rnacentral:rRNA from 1 species